UUAUGGCUCAGGAUGAACGCUGGCGGCGUGCCUAACACAUGCAAGUCGAACGGAGUAAUUAAGCGGAAGUUUCGGAUGGAAGCAUAGUUACUUAGUGGCGGACGGGUGAGUAACGCGUGGGCAACCUGCCCUGUACCGGGGGAUAACACUUAGAAAUAGGUGCUAAUACCGCAUAAGCGCACAGCUUCGCAUGAAGGUGUGUGAAAAACUCCGGUGGUACAGGAUGGGCCCGCGUCUGAUUAGCUAGUUGGUGGGGUAGAGGCCUACCAAGGCGACGAUCAGUAGCCGGCCUGAGAGGGUGACCGGCCACAUUGGGACUGAGACACGGCCCAAACUCCUACGGGAGGCAGCAGUGGGGAAUAUUGCACAAUGGGGGAAACCCUGAUGCCAGCGACGCCGCGUGAGUGAAGAAGUAUUUCGGUAUGUAAAGCUCUAUCAGCAGGGAAGAAAAUGACGGUACCUGACUAAGAAGCCCCGGCUAACUACGUGCCAGCCGCCGC
rnacentral:rRNA from 1 species